rnacentral:tRNA from 1 species
AAAUAUUUAAUGAAAUAUAUUUAAAUUAAGCUGCUAACUUAAUUUCUAGUGAUUAAAAUCAUUAAUAUUUC